rnacentral:miRNA from 1 species
UGGAAGACUAAUGAUUUUGUGUU